UCCCCGAUAGUCUAGUGGUGAGGAUAUCUGCUUGUCACUGAAAUAGCAGCAGCACGCAGGGGACCGGGGUUCAAUUCCCCGUCGAGGAG
rnacentral:tRNA from 1 species